rnacentral:lncRNA from 1 species
UUCUCGACGUGCAGCACGACAUGGGCGCUUUGAAGCACUACGACGGCGCUUACUGGAAGGCGCUGUUCGAUUCACGAGUCGGCAAAACGACGUGGCCGUACGGAUCAGGGGUUUGGUCAAAGAAAGAGUGGGUGCUGCCCGAGAUUGAUAGUGAUGAUAUCGUGAGCGCUUUCGAAGGGAACUCGAAUCUGUUCUGGGCUGAAAGAUUUGGCAAAGAGUUUUUGCAAAUGAAUGAUUUGUGGGUUAAGCACUGUGGGAUUAGUCAUACAGGAAGUUUUAAGGAUCUGGGUAUGACUGUUUUGGUGAGUCAAGUGAAUAGGUUAAAGAGAAUGAACAAACCGGUUAUUGGGGUUGGCUGUGCUUCAACUGGUGAUACCUCAGCUGCUCUGUCAGCUUAUUGUGCCUCUGCUGGCGUUCCUUCUAUUGUGUUUUUGCCCGCUAAUAAGAUUUCAAUUGCCCAGUUAGUGCAGCCUAUUGCAAAUGGUGCUUUUGUUUUGAGUCUUGAUACUGAUUUUGAUGGCUGCAUGCAGUUGAUAAGGGAAGUUACUUCUGAGUUGCCUAUUUAUUUAGCUAAUUCUUUGAAUAGUUUGAGGUUAGAGGGACAAAAGACUGCUGCUAUUGAGAUAUUGCAGCAGUUUGAUUGGGAAGUUCCCGAUUGGGUGAUAGUUCCUGGUGGUAAUUUGGGAAAUAUAUAUGCUUUUUAUAAAGGGUUUCAAAUGUGCAAAGAGUUGGGACUUGUUGAUAGGAUUCCUCGGCUUGUAUGUGCACAAGCUGCAAAUGCAAACCCACUUUACUUGUAUUAUAAGUCAGGGUGGAAAGAUUUUAAGCCUGUCAGGGCAAAUACUACUUUUGCAUCUGCUAUUCAGAUUGGUGAUCCUGUUUCUAUUGACAGAGCUGUUUAUGCCUUGAAAAAUUGUGAUGGUAUUGUUGAGGAAGCUACCGAGGAGGAAUUGAUGGAUGUUUCUGCGCAAGCGGAUUCUACUGGCAUGUUUGUUUGUCCUCAUACUGGGGUGGCAUUGUCUGCAUUGAUUAAGCUUCGAUGUAAAGGGGUUAUUGGAAAGACUGAUAAGACGGUAGUGGUGAGUACCGCUCAUGGGUUGAAAUUUACUCAGAGUAAGAUUGAUUAUCACUCACAGAAUAUCAAGGACAUGGCUUGCCGGUUGGCUAAUCCUCCAGUGAGUGUGAAGGCGGAUUUUGGGUCAGUUAUGGAUGUUUUGAAGAAGUACUUGUUGAGUAAAGAACCAAAGUAUUAGGCUUCUAUGACGAGCAGAGGAAAGUUUUGCGCAGCGGCUUCAUCUUUCCCUAGCUAAGCAGUCAGCACUCUCUUAUUGGAGGCAUCUUGUAGGAUUUACAAUUGUGUCAUCAUGUUGUUUUUGCUAGAGAAACCAUCUGUAAGGCAGGACUGCCAGUUUUGGUCAAGCUAGGCACAAGUGUAAUGAUCAACGUGCAGCACGACAUGGGCGCUUUGAAGCACUACGACGGCGCUUACUGGAAGGCGCUGUUCGAUUCACGAGUCGGCAAAACGACGUGGCCGUACGGAUCAGGGGUUUGGUCAAAGAAAGAGUGGGUGCUGCCCGAGAUUGAUAGUGAUGAUAUCGUGAGCGCUUUCGAAGGGAACUCGAAUCUGUUCUGGGCUGAAAGAUUUGGCAAAGAGUUUUUGCAAAUGAAUGAUUUGUGGGUUAAGCACUGUGGGAUUAGUCAUACAGGAAGUUUUAAGGAUCUGGGUAUGACUGUUUUGGUGAGUCAAGUGAAUAGGUUAAAGAGAAUGAACAAACCGGUUAUUGGGGUUGGCUGUGCUUCAACUGGUGAUACCUCAGCUGCUCUGUCAGCUUAUUGUGCCUCUGCUGGCGUUCCUUCUAUUGUGUUUUUGCCCGCUAAUAAGAUUUCAAUUGCCCAGUUAGUGCAGCCUAUUGCAAAUGGUGCUUUUGUUUUGAGUCUUGAUACUGAUUUUGAUGGCUGCAUGCAGUUGAUAAGGGAAGUUACUUCUGAGUUGCCUAUUUAUUUAGCUAAUUCUUUGAAUAGUUUGAGGUUAGAGGGACAAAAGACUGCUGCUAUUGAGAUAUUG